UUUGAACCUCAGAAAACAGUGAUCGAACAACAGCGCUUCGAACAAGAUCAACAUGGCAUCCUUCUUGAAACUGAGCGUGCUUGCCAUGGUGGUGAUGAUGCUGGUGACCGGCACCGUCGCUGAACCCGAACCCGAGCCUUUCCCUGUGCCGGGUGAUCACAAGCACUGGAAGGGAAAGGGUAAAGGAAAGGGAAAAGGAGGAAAGGGGAAGGGUAAAGGUAAAGGCAAGGGGAAGGGCCAUAAGAAGUGGUAAAAACUGCAUGCAUCGUAGCAACUCACUCCUAGUGUUUUGUAACUGACAAUAAAGAUGAAUCAGUUAA
rnacentral:lncRNA from 1 species